GAUGAACGCUGACAGAAUGCUUAACACAUGCAAGUCCACUUGAACUUCGGUUUGGGUGGCGGACGGGUGAGUCACGCGUAAAGAACUUGCCUCACAGAUAGGGACAACAUUUGGAAACGAAUGCUAAUACCUGAUAUUAUGAUUAUAUGGCAUCGUAUAAUUAUGAAAGCUAUAUGCGCUGUGAGAGAGCUUUGCGUCCCAUUAGCUAGUUGGAGAGGUAACGGCUCACCAAGGCGAUGAUGGGUAGCCGGCCUGAGAGGGUGAUCGGCCACAAGGGGACUGAGACACGGCCCUUACUCCUACGGGAGGCAGCAGUGGGGAAUAUUGGACAAUGGACCAAGAGUCUGAUCCAGCAAUUCUGUGUGCACGAUGAAGUUUUUCGGAAUGUAAAGUGCUUUCAGUUGGGAAGAAAAAAAUGACGGUACCAACAGAAGAAGUGACGGCUAAAUACGUG
rnacentral:rRNA from 1 species